rnacentral:misc_RNA from 1 species
AUUCCCGCCACGACGUAAGCCAAGCCAUGAGUGAUGACGACAAGCUGAUCGACCUGAAUGCCGAACGCGCCAAGCGCGUGCACGACCUCAAUGACAAACGCUUGAAUGAAGUGCGCCAAGCCUUUGAACAAGCCAUGCCCUUGGGCAAACCCAAGAAGAAGUCGAAGAACAAACCGAAAAAGCGUUGAAACAGCCUGCAUCUGUUGAUGCAGGUCAGUUAUUACCCUUCUUUACGCCCCGUUACGGGCGACAUUGAUCCCGGUCAAUUUCCCGCUGCGUCUUCUCCAUUAACUUAGCCCUAUCGCAACAGGGCACGUGCAGGAGGCCGGUCAUGUUUUUCGAUAAUGUGGUUUUUGCCGGAGUGCUGACUGUCAGCCUCAUGGUGCUGUUUUUUGUAGGGUUUGGAUUUUUUAUCUGGAAAGACGCUAACAAGCGUAAAAAACCGUAGGUCUUUUCAGAUUACAUGGGCACGCAAGGCAUUUUGGGCGACUUCGGUCGCCCUUUUUUUU